rnacentral:rRNA from 1 species
CAAAGGAAUUGACGGGGGCCCGCACAAGCGGUGGAGCAUGUGGUUUAAUUCGAUGAUACGCGAGGAACCUUACCUGGGCUCAAAUGUAUGUUGACGUAUUCUGAAAGGGAUACUUCUUCGGACAAUAUACAAGGUGCUGCAUGGUUGUCGUCAGCUCGUGCCGUGAGGUGUCGGGUUAAGUCCCAUAACGAGCGCAACCCCUAUCAUUAGUUGCCAUCAGGUCAAGCUGGGGACUCUAAUGAAACUGCCUACGCAAGUAGUGAGGAAGGUGGGGAUGACGUCAAAUCAGCACGGCCCUUACGUCCAGGGCUACACACGUGCUACAAUGGCCGAUACAGAGGGCAGCUACCUGGUGACAGGAUGCAAAUCUCCAAAGUCGGUCUCAGUUCGGAUCGGAGUCUGCAACCCGACUCCGUGAAGUUGGAUUCGCUAGUAAUCGCGCAUCAGCCAUGGCGCGGUGAAUACGUUCCCGGGCCUU